GCCUGUGUAGCUCAAUUGGUUAGAGCGUGGGACUUUUAAUCUCAAGGCUUCGGGUUCGAGUCCCGACAUAGGCU
rfam:Plasmodiophora brassicae isolate e3 genome assembly, contig: scaffold_23